rnacentral:lncRNA from 1 species
AAUCUAUUCCCUAAUACUGUCCAUUCUUUGAUUCCAGUUUCUGCUUCAGCAUCGUAACUGGCAUACAAUGGGUUUGGAGCCAUCUGAGCAUUCUGCCCCUGAGUUCCCUUCAGAUAUUUGAAAAACGUGCUUGGAAUCCCUUGAGUAGCUUCUGUCAUUGCCGUCACUAUUUGAUCCUGACCUUGGAUUAUGAACCUUCCUUCCGAGGCCUAAGGUAUUUGGGAAUUCAAUGACGAACACUUCCCUGGGAAAGUAGCAGUUUAAAAGGAAAGUCAUCUGAACCUAAGCAGUGUAGUGGUGUCCAUCAGGAAACAUGGUCUUGAAUGGAAAGAACAAAACCAAACUAGAAUAAAGAAUCACCACCCAAGCAGGAGAGAAAUCAACAAGAGGGCACCUGGCUAGGCCUGGUAUGUGGCUGCUGCUCAGAAAAUUUAAAAAGAUUCCAGGAGAAGGGAGUAAAGAAGGAGCUCCCUGCUGCAGGCUCAAAGACUGUCAACCACCUGCAGAGGUCGCCACCCUGACUACCAGCCUCUGGCUGGCCCACCCGUUGGACACCACGACUCUCCACUCCCUCUUCUAUUACUCCGGGAUCCUAGAUAGUGCCAUGUGAUGUGUGCACUAAGAAGGAGUUGGGAGAGACAGCUCUUCUCUGUGGCUAGUUGCCAGCUGAUGUUUGAAGGAAGGAGAGAAGACAGAGCCUCUUUUCUGCAUCAGAAAAUACUGUGAACACAGAUGUGGGCUUUAGCAACCUGCAAGUGCAGCCUUCUUCUAACAAAAUGAACCCUAUAUGAAAUUCUGGAAAGUAAAAGAGGAAGUUAGAUGGGUGACCCAUUUGAGGUAGGUAUGAUAAUAGCAACUGUUUCUCUUUUGUCAAUUUGUCUUCUGCAUAGGAUAUAUGUGUAGCUGGAAUAAGCAAUGAAUAAA